GGGGUUGUGGCUCAGUGGUAGAGCACUUGCCUAAAAUGUGUGAGGCCCUGUGUUUGAUCCUCAGCACCA
rnacentral:tRNA from 1 species